CGAUUGGUUCUAUUUUGUUGGUUUCUAGGACCAUCGUAAUGAUUAAUAGGGACGGUCGGGGGCAUCAGUAUUCAGUUGUCAGAGGUGAAAUUCUUGGAUUUACUGAAGACUAACUACUGCGAAAGCAUUUGUCAAGGACGUUUUCAUUAAUCAAGAACGAAAGUUAGGGGAUCGAAGAUGAUCAGAUACCGUCGUAGUCUUAACCAUAAACUAUGCCGACUAGGGAUCGGGCGGUGCCUUUUAUUGGCCCACUCGGCACCUUACGAGAAAUCAAAGUUUUUGGGUUCUGGGGGGAGUAUGGUCGCAAGGCUGAAACUUAAAGGAAUUGACGGAAGGGCACCACCAGGAGUGGAGCCUGCGGCUUAAUUUGACUCAACACGGGGAAACUCACCAGGUCCAGACACAAUAAGGAUUGACAGAUUGAGAGCUCUUUCUUGAUUUUGUGGGUGGUGGUGCAUGGCCGUUCUUAGUUGGUGGAGUGAUUUGUCUGCUUAAUUGCGAUAACGAACGAGACCUUAACCCUUAAAUAGAGUUGCUGGCGUUUGCUGGUAAAUCUUCUUAUGGGGACUAUCGAUUUCAAGUCGAUGGAAGUUUGAGGCAAUAACAGGUCUGUGAUGCCCUUAGACGUUCUGGGCCGCACGCGCGCUACACUGACGGAGCCAGCGAGCUUUUCCUUAACCGAGAGGUUUGGGUAAUCUUGUGAAACUCCGUCGUGC
rnacentral:rRNA from 1 species